AGUGAACGCUGGCGGCAGGCCUAACACAUGCAAGUCGAACGGCAGCACAGGGGUAGCAAUACCCUGGGUGGCGAGUGGCGGACGGGUGAGGAAUACGUCGGAAUCUGCCUAUUUGUGGGGGAUAACGUAGGGAAACUUACGCUAAUACCGCAUACGACCUACGGGUGAAAGCGGAGGACCUUCGGCUUCGCGCAGAUAGAUGAGCCGACGUCGGAUUAGCUAGUUGGCGGGGUAAAGGCCCGACCAACGGCGACGAUCCGUAGCUGGUCUGAGAGGAUGAUCAGCCACACUGGAACUGAGACACGGUCCAGACUCCUACGGGAGGCAGCAGUGGGGAA
rnacentral:rRNA from 1 species